UAAACUAGGAUUAGAUACCCUAUUAUUGUAUACGUAAAUAUUAGACUAGGGUAUUAAUAGUUAUGUUCUUUAAACCUAAAGAAUUUGGCGGUAUUUUAAUCUAUUUAGAGGAAUUUGUGCUGUUAUCGAUAAUCCUCGUUUUAUCUUGCUUUAUUUUGUUUAUCAGUAUGUAUAUCGCCGUUAUAAGUUUAUUUUAUUAGAAUUUAUAAUUUACUUUUUUCUUUACUAAGAUUUAUUUCAGGUCAAGGUGCA
rnacentral:rRNA from 1 species